rnacentral:misc_RNA from 1 species
UGCUCUUUGCUUGCGCAACAACUGUUGACCCCUCAUCCGUUUCAUUUUUGCCCCAAGAUUGAGCUUGCUUUUCUUGGGCACGACCCUUGGUUCCUGUGUUGCCUUCCCAUCAUAUGGAAAAUUUCAUGAGAUAGCCCCGCCCCGCCACUUUCCUCCAUGUGGCUUUGCGGCUACAAAGCGAACCUCGAAAGCAGUCCCCGUGUCCCCGACAUAUCCUCUGACUUUUGUUGUGGCUAUCUUGGUCCAUAGGAGAACUGCUUGCACUCUCGGAUAUGGAAAAUUAAGCGGACAUGGGGGAUCUUGGCCUUCGGUUGCGCCAAUCAAGUCCCUCGAUAGGAAUGACUUUUGCUACCUCAUUGACUGCAGGCCCUCUAGGCCCAUGGCAUCAAUGCGGGUCCGAAGUCGAGAAAGAAUGCUACCUGGUUGAUCUUGCCAGUAGUCAUAUACUUGUCUCAAAGAUUAAGCCAUGCAUGUGUAAGUA